rnacentral:rRNA from 1 species
CCUACGGGAGGCAGCAGUGGGGAAUUUUGGACAAUGGGCGCAAGCCUGAUCCAGCAAUGCCGCGUGAGUGAAGAAGGCCUUCGGGUUGUAAAGCUCUUUUGUCAGGGAAGAAACGGUGAAGGCUAAUAUCCUUUGCUAAUGACGGUACCUGAAGAAUAAGCACCGGCUAACUACGUGCCAGCAGCCGCGGUAAUACGUAGGGUGCAAGCGUUAAUCGGAAUUACUGGGCGUAAAGCGUGCGCAGGCGGUUUUGUAAGUCUGUCGUGAAAUCCCCGGGCUCAACCUGGGAAUUGCGAUGGAGACUGCAAGGCUAGAAUCUGGCAGAGGGGGGUAGAAUUCCACGUGUAGCAGUGAAAUGCGUAGAGAUGUGGAGGAACACCGAUGGCGAAGGCAGCCCCCUGGGUCAAGAUUGGCGCUCAUGCACGAAAGCGUGGGGAGCAAACAGGAUUAGAUACCCUGGUAGUCCACGCCCUAAACGAUGUCUACUAGUUGUCGGGUUUUAAUUAACUUGGUAACGCAGCUAACGCGUGAAGUAGACCGCCUGGGGAGUACGGUCGCAAGAUUAAAACUCAAAGGAAUUGACGG